GUCGCGCUCGAUAGUAGAGGAAUAACUAGACAGGCGAUGGUGAGAUGGAUCAAGAUCCAAUACUAUACUUAUGGAGACCCUGAGUGAUCGUGAUCGCGUAAGUUAGUAUCAGAUUGUACCUUGGGGACGUUCUCAUUUUGUGAAGUGUUAAGUUGGAAAUCUUGCAUGAGUGUCUAGAGUGAGACUCAUGUGCGGUCAUGAUAUCCUGGUCAGCAUAGUGAGUGGAUAUCAUGUACCAUUGGCGACCGGUGAUGGAAUAUGCAAGUUAUAUCUUGGAUCGGCUCGAUGUGUGAUGUGUCUGGUAAGGUAUUGCUAGAUACUCCGAGUGGAGAAGUGUUAAUCUUGGUAAAGCAUGGACAUUUUGGUUUGAGAACUGCUAAGGAGUUUAUAAGAGAGAUGUUCGAAGAGUAAAGUGCAAUUUCUUGCAUUGUGGCUACACUCAGACCGUUGGAAGCACUGCAAUGAAGGAUGCAGCCGCUGAGGAAAUCAGUUUAGUUCAGAGGAAGAAGAAACAUUAGAUGGCUGUGUGAAUUGAGUGUGGCUAUGGGAGUAUAGUUAUAUCAGUAAGUCGCACGAGUUAUCAGAGGCGAUGCUACGCUAAGAGAAUGAAGGUGUAUGGUUGGGUAAAAGUUAUGUAGAACUGCUAGAGUUAUCAUGAACUGCAGUAUGUCGUGAAGGAUUCGAUAUACCGGUUGAGCAACAAAGAUUUGUUGGAAUGAAAAACAUAGCAGAUGUACACUGUGGAAAUCAGUGACAGGAUGAACCUCUAAGUCAGUGAGUAUUUGGGUUUCAAUGUCCUAAGAUCGAAACGUGUACCUAAGUUGCGGUAGAUGAACUAUAUGGAAUGGCAGAGUAAGUAGAAGCUUGAUUCUGGAAAGUACGCCACUUCAAAGAGUAGUAGUCGAUGAUGGAUGUAUAUAGAGUUCUAGGGCGUGUUGUAAUUGGACAACUGUAGAUAAGGAAUUAUUGUGUAUUAAUGGAAGCUAAGUGAAUUAUGGAUAUAAUGUGACUCAGAGGAUUUCAAGGUGUGUGACUUGUUGGAAUCAGAGUCGCGCAACGGAUCAAGGAAGAAUCAGAUAAGUCUGAGGUAGGAAUGAACGGACUAUUUGUAGGAUUCUAUGUUGGGAUGAAGUAUGUUCCUAAGGGAAAUUGUCGAAGCGGAGUUUCGUUCGUUCUAGUCACUUGAGGAUCCACCAUAAACUCGAGAGGUGUUGUCAAUGGGCCAGCUUGGGAAUACUUUUGGGGAUGGCAUGCAGUCCGACGUUCGCAGGUCAUCAGUUUAGCUUGCAAGUCACAAGGGUUGGACUGAGUAUCAGACUGUCGAAAUGCUGAAGGCUAGAGAGGACAUUCAGUUGGCGCAAGUCCUUUGUGGUUAUGCCUUGUGUACUAUGAUUGUACAGGAAGACUGGUACAAUGGUUACGGGUCAGUUGUUGAAUUUCGCCUCUCAUCAGUAGAAUCUUGUUCGAAGUUGUCGAAUGUCAAGGCGAUAGUGCAAGACGAUUACACCUUCGCGGUUUACGGUGACAGUUGUAUAAGUAAAGAUAAAUUUGGAACAAUCAUCCUAAGACUUUAGGAACCAGAGGUUAAGACCGAGGAAUUUGGAGAUCACCUAAUGGCAUUGUAUGGACUCGAAUGGAGAAUAAUUUGAAGUGCUAUCGUAGAAGUGACGUGGUGGCAAUAAUUCUCAAACAAGAAGUAAUUCAAGGAGCUGAGUGGAUCAGUAAUGUUUGUUGAACGAGGGUGAACACACCAGAGAAUGAAAUGAAGGACAUCCGACAUGGGUGGAUUAUUAGAGUUUUUGAAGUUCUGGAAAUCUAGUGCCGAGCAGUGAAGGUCAAGGACUCUGGAAGGAUCUUUCCCUAGGUAUGUCAAGACGAAGUACCUGAACAGACGUGUUGCUUGACAGUUAAGGUUCUGAUCAUGAAUAAUGGGAAUACCAGUUUGGCAGAUUGUGUUUCUUCGUAACGAAUGACCAUCAGACAGAGUGGUGAGAUUAUCUAAAGAGGAAUGUGAGUAACAUUCUCCCCCUUGGUUGGAUAGAUGUGAAGAGUUAGUUUUUCGCGAUGAUUGAAAGGAAUUCGAGGACGAAUUCAAUUUAAGGGGGGGAGAAUGUAAUAUCCCACAUUAAUCUAAGCACGAUUAUGGAAUAAUAAGAAGACUUAGUGGUUUAAUUAUACAUUAAGGAAUUGGCUAAGUGGUAAUUAGAAUGCAUAUAGACUCAUUCUAUAUUGAUCUAAGAGGGACUAUUAAGAAGUAAGUGGAUUAGUGAGAAUCCAACUAAAUGGCAAACUAGUAAUUUUGGCAUAGUUAGAGGGCAUUUUGGACAAUAGACAUCUUGCAUGAGUCAUAAGGAGUUGUUUGGAUGGAGGGAUGUAUAUCUUGGUUAGAGAAUCAUUUCUUUUGGAGAAUAAAGAGAUUAGAGCCAAGAAGAACUCAUAACUCAUUUUCCAUUUUCGUAUUCCAUGGCAGCCUCCACUAAAACAGGUAUAUCUCUCAACUCGUAACUCCGAUUGAGCUGAUUCCGGUCCCAUUGGAAAGCUAACGAAUUUCUCUUCGAUUUGCACCUAUGGUUCGCGUUCAUAGCUUAUGUUUUGAAGGAGAAAAGUGAGCUUGAAGUUGGGACAUGCAUGCUGAUUGUGUGUUAAGGUGUGGCUGCGGAUUUGAUGAUGAAGAAUAUGAAUUUUGGGCAAGAAGAGAUUACCAUAGCAGCAAGAACAUGAUCUUAACCUCCAUUAAAUCCAAGGUGCAGUUUAGUAGCGUUUAGUCAGUAGCAGGUUUGGACUGAAGACUUGGAAGUGGUGAUGGCUCGGAGACCUCGUCAGAUCUCAUUUUCCGCUGUGCAGAUCCAUUGAAGAUACAUGUGUUGUAAUUCUUAUUAGGAUAUCAUGUUGUAUUUUAUAUGGAUCUCUCUAUAUCUAUAGCUUUUGUAUGUACUCAAUAUCAAUUUUAACGUUUCAUGCAUAAUAUACUAGUCAGUUAUGUA